GACGAACGCUGGCGGCGUGCUUAACACAUGCAAGUCGAACGAGAAUCUGCAGAAAGAGGAUUCGUCCAAUUGAAGCAGAGGACAGUGGCGGACGGGUGAGUAACGCGUGAGGAACCUGCCUUUCAGAGGGGGACAACAGUUGGAAACGACUGCUAAUACCGCAUGACACAUCGGAGUCGCAUGGCUCUGAUGUCAAAGAUUUAUCGCUGAAAGAUGGCCUCGCGUCUGAUUAGCUAGUUGGUGAGGUAACGGCCCACCAAGGCGACGAUCAGUAGCCGGACUGAGAGGUUGAACGGCCACAUUGGGACUGAGAUACGGCCCAGGACUCCUACGGGAGGCAGCAGUGGGGAAUAUUGGGCAAUGGGCGCAAGCCUGACCCAGCAACGCCGCGUGAAGGAGAAGGCUUUCGGGUUGUAAACUUCUUUGUCAGGGACGAGUAGAAGACGGUACCUGACGAAUAAGCCACGGCUAACUACGUGCCAGCA
rnacentral:rRNA from 1 species